GGAAUCUUGCGCAAUGGGCGAAAGCCUGACGCAGCGACGCCGCGUGAGUGAUGAAGGCCCUAGGGUUGUAAAGCUCUGUGGAGAGGGACGAAUAAGCAAUGGUUAAUACCUAUUGUGAUGACGGUACCUAUUUAGCACGCACCGGCUAACUCUCUGCCAUCAGCCGCGGUAAGACAGAGGGUGCAAACGUUGUUCGGAAUUACUGGGCGUAAAGCGCGUGUAGGCUGUCCCGCAAGUCGGGUGUGAAAGCCCAGGGCUCAACCCUGGAAGUGCACUCGAAACUGCGAGACUUGAAUCUCGGAGAGGGUAGCGGAAUUCUGGGUGUAGAGGCGAAAUUCGUAGAUAUCCAGAGGAACACCGGUGGCGAAGGCGGCUACCUGGACGAGUAUUGACGCUGAGACGCGAAAGUGUGGGGAGCA
rnacentral:rRNA from 1 species